rnacentral:rRNA from 1 species
UACGUAGGGUCCGAGCGUUGUCCGGAAUUAUUGGGCGUAAAGGGCUCGUAGGCGGUUUGUCGCGUCGGGAGUGAAAACACGGGGCUUAACCCCGUGCCUGCUUCCGAUACGGGCAGACUAGAGGUAUGCAGAGGAGAACGGAAUUCCUGGUGUAGCGGUGAAAUGCGCAGAUAUCAGGAGGAACACCGGUGGCGAAGGCGGUUCUCUGGGCAUUACCUGACGCUGAGGAGCGAAAGUGUGGGGAGCGAACAGG